GAGUUUUUUUUUUGUACUGUAACGUUUAUUGUUAAUAUCAAACGGUUUUGUUGUUUUAAGUUUGUUCAAAUGCAAUAUUUAAUGAUGUGUAUACAAUAUAUUAUAUUUAUAUAUAUCUAAUAAUGUUCUACGCGUGUGAAAUAAAACGUGUUUAUAAUACAAAAGUAUCGUCGGCGAAAAUGUAAAUAGUUAAGUACAAGUAUCAAUACAAUAUUAUACUAUGAUAUAAUAUAAUAUGAUAACUCGCUCGUUCUUGAGAGAUCCCUUGCCGCUAAGAUUCAGAGGACGGCGGUCACUUAUACAACCGGCUCUUACGCAGUAUCAUUGGCCACAGACGGACCAGUGAAAACCUUCAUAACGUGGAUUCGCAUCGUGGGAAUGUUGUAACGGUUAUGUUUAAAUGCAAUAUUAUAUUAAGUGUAGCGUACAACAUUUGCAUUAUGCGGAUCUUCAUAAUGAAAGCUUUUUCCGGUCCGUCCCUGGCCACUGACACUACGUAGGGACCGAUCACAUAAGUGGCCGCCGAUCCCAGCAUCCUGACGGCGAGACAGACACCUUUAAACAAGCAGACGACCCGCCCGGUCAGUGACACCGUAAAACAUUUAAUUCCAAGUAUGUAGGUGGGUAUAUUAUAUAUUAAAUGAAUGCGCCGCCGCCGCCGCCACUAACCUGUAGCCAUGUUCCUCUCGUUCUUGGGGAACCACAACGCCGACAUGGUGAUUAUGAGAGGCGUCAUCAACACGCCGCCCACGGACAAGAAUAUCGCCGACAUGUGCAGACACCUACAAUGACACGAUAAUAUUGUUACGAUAUUCAGUGCGAUGAAUGGUUGUAAUCGUCUUAAUAGCUGUGCCUACGCGUUACGAAGGGAGCGCGCUACUGUCCAUACACAUUACAUAAUAUAAUAUCGUGUACUUCGUCGGUUGUACAGAUUUAGCACGCGUUAACGCUCCCUACUAUAUAGAUGUACCGAUUGUAUAAUGAUAAAGUAAAAUUGUAAUUGAUUUUUUGUUCGACGGUUAUAAUAAUAAAAUCUGAAAACUCGUUAUCGAUAAGUGCGAUUGUUUAAAUUUCAAAUAAACCUCGAAAUACAUGAGUAAA